ACAAUUCAAUGUUUCAGAUGGAGACCACAUCAAUCGAUUGAUAGCCUGUUUAUUUAUGGCUAUUCCGUUUUUCGAGAGGGGUGCCUCAAAUAGCAAAUUUCUAAAUUAUUUGAAUAAACAUAUUUUCCCAGUAUUUGACAAGCUUCCUGAAGAACGGAAGGUAGACCUGCUCAAAAACCUCGCAGAGAGUGCACCCUAUACAAUUCCUCAAGAUUCGAGACAAAUCCUUCCCUCUGUUGUUCAACUAUUGAAGAAAUAUAUGCCUCGUCGAAAAGCG
rnacentral:misc_RNA from 1 species